rnacentral:rRNA from 1 species
CUGGCUCAGGAUGAACGCUAGCUACAGGCUUAACACAUGCAAGUCGUGGGGCAGCAUAUAGAUAGCUUGCUAUUAUGAUGGCGACCGGCGCACGGGUGAGUAACGCGUAUCCAACCUUCCCCAUAGUAGGGUAUAGCCCGGCGAAAGUCGGAUUAAUCCCCUAUGUUGUUUGAAGCGGACAUCUAAUUCAAACCAAAGAUUCAUCGCUAUGGGAUGGGGAUGCGUCUGAUUAGGUUGCAGGCGGGGUAACGGCCCACCUGGCCGACGAUCAGUAGGGGUUCUGAGAGGAAGGUCCCCCACACUGGUACUGAGACACGGACCAGACUCCUACGGGAGGCAGCAGUGAGGAAUAUUGGUCAAUGGGCGCGAGCCUGAACCAGCCAAGUAGCGUGCAGGAUGACGGCCCUACGGGUUGUAAACUGCUUUUAUGCGGGGAUAAAGUGCGGCACGUGUGCCGUUUUGCAGGUACCGCAUGAAUAAGGACCGGCUAAUUCCGUGCCAGCCGCAGC